rnacentral:lncRNA from 1 species
GUUUAUUGGGGGAGAUUAUGAUUUUUCUUUGUUAAAUUUUUUUUUCUUUUCUAGGUGUUAAAUUUUUUGUUUUCUAGGUAGUUUUUGUUUUGUUUUGUGUACAGUUUUGCAUGUUUCUCUUAAUUUCUGGACUUUGUUUACAUUGUAGAUGUGUCUUUCACUUCAUUCCUACUCUGAUUUGUUGGAAAUCCUUGUUUUUCUUUGCUUGGAAAGAUGAUUAUGAUGUUUGAGAGGUUGAUUUGAUU